rnacentral:rRNA from 1 species
GACGAACGCUGGCGGCGUGCUUAACACAUGCAAGUCGAACGGAAAGGCCCUGCUUUUGUGGGGUGCUCGAGUGGCGAACGGGUGAGUAACACGUGAGUAACCUGCCCUUGACUUUGGGAUAACUUCAGGAAACUGGGGCUAAUACCGGAUAGGAGCUCCUGCUGCAUGGUGGGGGUUGGAAAGUUUCGGCGGUUGGGGAUGGACUCGCGGCUUAUCAGCUUGUUGGUGGGGUAGUGGCUUACCAAGGCUUUGACGGGUAGCCGGCCUGAGAGGGUGACCGGCCAAAUGGGGACGGGGAUACGGCCCGGACUCCUACGGGGGGAAGAGGUGGGGAAUAUUGAAAAUGGGCGGAAGCCUGAUGCAGCAACGCCGCGUGCGGGAUGACGGCCUUCGGGUUGUAAACCGCUUUCGCCUGUGACGAAGCGUGAGUGACGGUAAUGGGUAAAGAAGCACCGGCUAACUACGUG